rnacentral:rRNA from 1 species
UGGCUUAAUUUGACUCAACGCGGGAAAUCUUACCGGGUCCGGACACACUGAGGAUUGACAGAUAUAUACCCCGUGAUUUUAUCGCGGGGUUGAAAGAUGCUAGUUCUUUCAUGAUUAUGUGAUAGGUGGUGCAUGGCCGUUCUUAGUUCGUGGAGUGAUCUGUCUGCUUAAUUGCGUAUCAAUAAUAGAGACCUAGUAUACGCGUAGACUCAUGCGGUAGUGACCCCCCUUCACAGGGCGCGUGUCGCACGUAUGUUAUACGCACAGGUCUCCGAUAGCAACGAACGUGACCGUACUCUAUUGUUGCAGCGACAAUACCUUUCAACGGGUAUUACCGCUGCUUAGCAAGAUUCGUCUUGCAUUAAACUAUAGAGACCGCUGUUUCUUCUUUAAACCAGAGGAAGGAUACGGCAAUAACAGGUCUGUGAUGC